UGACCAACGUCUAUGAACUAUAUUAUUCAUUGCACUCAUGCUAUCACUAUAGCUACAAUCAACCACAAAGUUACUCGGCUUGUAGCCCAUUUCUCCCGCAUUCCUGAGGCGACCUUUUAUGCUACCUUCCGGAACCGCUUGCAUCGGCUCACUUCCCAUGCCCUUUCCCGUGCCCUUUGGGCGGCCACGUCCUCGCUUUGUCGUCUUGUCCGAGAGUAAUUGCAUUCCCUGACUAACCUGCUCCUCUAACCGACAAAUGCGACUAGUAAUAUUGUCCGGGCCAAGAGCGGACAAAUCUUUGUUACCUUCAUGCGAACACCCCCGUUUUUGUCCAAAUUUGGGUCACUUUCGAGAGCAACAGCUGUGUCGUCAAAAAUCGGUCUGUUCAAAUCCGCGCCAUCCGGAGCCUCCAUUUCCAAAGUUUCCUCCACAUCCGAGUCUUCCUCGUUAAUGACCAAGUCACUAUCUUUAAUCACAUCUUUAUCCCCCUGAAUCGGAACCAUGAUUUUUUCCAACGAAUCCGGCUGAGAUAAAUGAAUCCCGAAAGACGUUCCAGAAAUAGGAUCCACGCCCAUAUCCAAACAAGUAUCCGCAUUAUUCUCCAAAUCCAGAGCCUGAAAUGCAUUUCGCGUCUCG
rnacentral:lncRNA from 1 species